CAGUAGCCGCGGGAAUACGUAGGUGGCAAGCGUUGUCCGGAAUUAUUGGGCGUAAAGGGCUCGCAGGCGGUUUCUUAAGUCUGAUGUGAAAGCCCCCGGCUCAACCGGGGAGGGUCAUUGGAAACUGGGAAACUUGAGUGCAGAAGAGGAGAGUGGAAUUCCACGUGUAGCGGUGAAAUGCGUAGAGAUGUGGAGGAACACCAGUGGCGAAGGCGACUCUCUGGUCUGUAACUGACGCUGAGGAGCGAAAGCGUGGGGAGCGAACAGGAUUAGAUACCCCAGUAGUCCCUGUCUCUUUACA
rnacentral:rRNA from 1 species